CUACGUGCCAGCAGCCGCGGUAAUACGGAAGGUCCGGGCGUUAUCCGGAUUUAUUGGGUUUAAAGGGAGCGUAGGCCGGGGAUUAAGUGUGUUGUGAAAUGUAGGCGCCCAACGUCUGACUUGCAGCGCAUACUGGUUCCCUUGAGUACGCGCAACGCCGGCGGAAUUCGUCGUGUAGCGGUGAAAUGCUUAGAUAUGACGAAGAACCCCGAUUGCGAAGGCAGCCGGCGGGAGCGCAACUGACGCUGAAGCUCGAAGGUGCGGGCAUCGAACAGGAUUAGAUACCCUGGUAGUCCGCACAGUAAACGAUGGAUGCCCGCUGUUAGCGCCUGGCGUUAGCGGCUAAGCGAAAGCAUUAAGCAUCCCACCUGGGGAGUACGCCGGCAACGGUGAAACUCAAAGGAAUUGACGGGGGCCCGCACAAGCGGAGGAACAUGUGGUUUAAUUCGACGCAACGCGAGGAACCUUACCAGAUCUUGAC
rnacentral:rRNA from 1 species